rfam:Brassica rapa chromosome A2, whole genome shotgun sequence.
AUGUUUCCUAGAGUUCCUCUAAGCACUUCAUUGGAGAAAAAUCAUUUGCUAUGAAAAUGUAUUCCACUGAAGUGUUUGGGGGAACUCCUGGACUCAU